GGACUUACCUGGCAGGGAAGACACCAUGAUCUCUAAGGGCUUUUCCCAGGGCGAGCCUCAUCCUUACCCUGAGGAUCUGCUGAGCCCAGCGAUUGCCCCAGUGGGGAAUAAAGUGCAAAACGUGUGUUGGUGGACUGGUGGGGUCGCACUGUCCCU
rnacentral:snRNA from 1 species